ensembl:lncRNA
AUUGAUCGGAACACUUUUAACAGUCUUGACUUUAUUACUAAUUCAUUGACUCCGUCGCUGUCGGGUUUAUUAACAUGUCACCACCAUUGUUAAUAAUUCAUUCAUUGGGUCUUUCAUUAGGCUCGUAAACAUCUGGCUGGCGUUUACACACCGUGCCGGUUAACGCUUACUGCUCAAUCAAAGAGUCGCCGGAUAUAUUCAGGAAUCGGGUAUAUUCAGGAUUUGAAAAAAAGAGGAUCAGCACAUCCAGAGAGAUCUCAGACGUUUCCAUUUGGGGAUUUCUCAAACAACUGGCAGCCUUCUUAUUUACUACUUUAAAAUCAGCUGAAAAAAACAACUUAUUUACAAUUAAUUGCUCCGUUGACAUUAGAACCAUCAGACGAAUGUAAGCUCGCAGCGUGAUUACAGUUGUAUCAUUUAAGUGCAGUAACUCCCAUUGAGGACUGAAGUGAGAAACGAUAAACUGGCAAUGUUUGAUUUUAAAAUAUCUGCCAUUAGAAAUGAACUGCUCAAAUUGAUGAGCCAUAUUGAUAUUGACACAAACUGUAUUUCGGCGAAGACGAUGCUCAUUAAUAUUUCAAUGCAUUCCUCCCUCAUUGUGUCAUUGGUCCAAUGCUUUCCAGGCAGCGGCUGUCAUUCCCACUUGGUAGAAGUUCCACGUGAGGACUAAACGGUCCUCUCUAACGGCAGCGCCGCGGCUCCACGUGGGCGCUCGUGGGUAACGGGUCUCCUGGGUCUCCUGCUCCUCCUGCUCCUCCUGCCGGCUCAAGUACCCACUCAACGUCCAGCAGACAUUCCGUUCCAGCUCUGGUGAAACCAACAACCACUCCAACAAAAGCGUUGGCAGAGGUUAAGAGGAGUGAAAACGUCCCUCUUCAUUUGGCUUCCAGCUCGCCGGGUGCACUUGCCGUGUUGUUUCACAUGAACUGUGAGAACAUCGGGUUUUUGUUGGCUGGAUGCGGCAGCGUGAAUCGCUCGCAUCCGUUUCCCCCCUUUUAUUCACUUAGUAACCAUGGCAACAGUCUUGAAAUUUUGUCAUUUGCGGACCCGGCAGAGGUUUAAUUGUGCAGGUACUCUAUUUGGAUGAGCAGGUGCGUCGCAGUCGCUUCGACCUUCCCAUUAGCCAUUUAAUAAGAGUUGGAUGCCGCCCGUUUUUCUACAUAACAGGUUUCUCUCUGUGCGCUCCUAAAACCUCCAAUGCUUUUUUAUUUUAUUUACAGAAUUCAUUCAUGUUUUAUGCAAAUGGCUUCACCGUGUAAAGGUUCUUCUGCCGUUGAACCGACGGUGCAGGUCGGCGCUCCUCACGCCGCCGCCAACCCUGCAGAAUCGGUUCGGCGCUCUAAUGAUCAACUUUAUCCUUCUGCUUGUCACGCGUGUGCACAGCAACCCCCCCAACGCGGGACGGGGGGAGCGCGGCCGGACUCUUGUGUGACUGACGCAGAGCGCUGCUCUGACUUACCAGACAUUCGCACACCACAGCUUAUUUUAUUUUGUGGGAAUCGUAAGUAAUGGUCAGUAAUGAGCUCCUUGCACCUCCAUUCAUGGGAGUAAAGAGCACAAACCCAAGUCCCCCCCCCCCAAAUUGCACCUUUUAAUUAGGACCCGCCAGGUGAAUGCAGCCUGCACAAACACAGUCGCUGUGGACAGGCUUCCUCUUCUCCCGGCUUGAUUAGUGGUCUUCAAACAGAACAUGUAAGUUCUAAAUCUGAACUUUAACCCGGGUGACAACGCUGCAGGCGUCGUUAGCACAGCUAGACUCACGCGGCCGAUCUGGCAGGAUUUAUUCGGGCGGAGAACAGGAUUCUGUGGCGUCCUUGUAUCAGCCGAGAGGUCGUUUCCUUUCCUCGGGUGGAGGCUUCACAGCGACGCCGUGCAGUUAUGCAGCGUUUUAAAAUAACAAAACAAACCCGGUAACAAAACGGAGCUCCUCUGCGACACGGAGGAGAUUCACUACCUGACUAAAUGUAUAAAUGUGUGUGGUCAUUUGGAGGCGGAGUCACCGUGCGGUUGUUAAACAGGGGAGUUGGAUGAAGGGAUUUGCCUGCCUGGAGGCAGACCAGGACAAAGCCACAUUCUCCGGGCCGGAUGUAUGUUGACCUUUACUUUAAGGCUUGUGACGUGGACGGGGACACUCGUUACCUUUUAAAGAACUCAGGAGCACGUGUCCAAGUGUCCACGCACCCAGGCAGAGGUCAACGCUGAGCGCGAAGACACUCAAGCGAGAUUAAAUACGCCAUAAAUAUGCCAAGGCGGCGCCGUGUCGCAGAUCAGAAUCGAGCGCGUCCUCCCGUCCUCACCGUCGUCUCGACAUAAUAGAGAAAAAUAUCUUGUAGCUGCAUGCGCCCCCCCCCCCCGGAGCUCCACGAUGGUGCUUUAAACAUCUGUACGGAGACAACACUGAUAAUGUGAAGGAAUAUAUGUAUAUUCCUGAUGAGUUAUUCCACAAUGCACACACGGCGGCCACGACGGCUUCCACAUCAAAAACGCCGCGUGAGAUGAGAAGAAAAACAAGAGUAUUCAAAGCCUCACAGUGAGCCGACCUCCUUUGAACUGCACAUUAUUUCCAGGAGGAUGUGCUGUGAUUAUGUGAAUAUCUGCGAUUAAACGACAAGGACGACUGUAUCUGUCCACCCGAGUGUGUCCGUCUCCUGUGGAGGUCUAAUUAAAUGUGCCGGCUCUUGUUGCAUAUUAGAAGAUAUGAAUACGGUAUUAUCCAUUAAUGCGAGAGGAGGGUGACGGUGGCGGAAGAUGGAAGGGAAACAAUGACAGAGGAGGCAAAUUAGUUUCUCACCGUCAGGAAGGAAGUUGGGACCUUCGACGGCUGGAAACAAAAAAAAAAAAAAAAACGCGUGCGCGCACUUCAGAAUUAAUUGCGGUGCCAGCUGCCAAAUGCGGACGAAUCUUCUUUGUGGAACGCGAAGCAAAGAGACUCUGUGAUUACGACGCAAUCAGAAACUGAUUGGAAAAACUCAACGGCGCAGGAGAGUCGGUGUUGCUGAGGGCGGGUUAAACUCGGGGGGGCGGGGGGCGUCGGUGGAGGCCCUCUGAAGACGCGACCUUGCGUCACGCUGGCCCAGGUGGACCCGCCCAUGCUGACAAUCAGUAUUUGCCCCCCCGAGUGCAACUUCCGUUAGAUUAAACCCAGGCCAUGUCGACUCUUCAUCACACCUCCGGAACCCAGGCAGAGACCUCGGGCCUGUGUUCGUUAUGUACAUAUUCCCAUUAGAGCGAGGAAGUAACACGCCGAUGACCAGGGCUGCUCCUCUCGUCGCGCCGUAACGAGGCUGCUGUGAGGUCGGCCUUAAUUGCUUCUGCUCAUAAUGCUCGAGGACGACAAUCGAACCCAUUUAAUCAGCGGGCUCAUUGCUCCUAACGCGCCGGGCUGUGAAAAGACCCGCAGCAGGUUGAAUCGAGUAUCUUUGUGAAUUUCAGUAUCACAUUUAACGUUCACCUCCCUCCGCUGGGAGCUCGAGCUCUGCAACGGCGCCAUCAGUGGCGCGUUAAUGCUCCUAAUCCCGCGGAAAUCCUCGACCAAGCGCCGUUGCCAAACCAGACCAUUUGUGGCAGACUGUUGCCGUAUUUCCCCACCGGUCGCACGAGACCCAGCGCCGCCUGUCAGCGUCCGCGCGGCCACAUCUGCAGAGCGGCAUGUGGCAGAAACCUGGAACCACACCUCCCAUUUGUGAGAUGUGAGAGGCGGCAGGAUGGUCCUAAAUCCUGCUGUUCUGAAGCAGCAAUUAGAUGAAAAGGCCUUUCUUCCUCCAGACAAUGCAUGCAGGUGGGGAGAAAACUGUGCUGGCUGAUGGAGGCCGUAAUUGGCGUAACGACGGGCGGCGGCCUGGCAUCGGGAAAGAAAACCACGAGGAGAGCCGGGUGCUCACUUUAGAUGACCUAGAGAUCCAAGAGGUUCACAGGGAAUAACGGUGACAACCGUUAGAGGAAAUUCCAUGAAAUCUGCUGCAGAUAUUCGACGUGUCUCGAGGAUUCAUUCUAAUAAUUUUGUCAUAUUACAGCUUUUCCUCCGGCACCACGUUGGUUUCACCUCAACAGCUACUCGAUAAGAAAGAAAGCUUAAAGCUCUAAAGCUCUAGAUCGCUGCAGACGGCGGCUCCGCCCUGUCAGAGGUGAGCUCGCCACAUCAGACCUGCAAACGCUAGUACGAGGUCGCCGGUGGGAGUGAAGCUUCGUCUCCGCUCAACAGCGCCGAGGAAAACGACCUGUCAGUCAGCCGUCCGUGCGCAGGAAACACGACACGUUUCCAGCUCCCAAUUAACACCCCGUCGGCGUUAAGCAGCUACGCCACAGUGUCGGGAGACCCGUGUUUACAUCUUUACAUUCAUAUAACCGGGGCUACGCUUUCAAUUUGUCACACUUUCACUUCACAGCCCCCCCCGUGCUGCCGGCGUGACGUCUCCAGUCAGCUCGACUCAGAGGACAUUUAACUAUUGUUCAUCUUCUAGAGAUUCCUUUUGUCCUCGGGGGCCGGAAUAAAAAAGCAACUCUGAGCUUUUAAACUUCCUACGAAACAAAAAGUGCAGCCUCAGUUCUCAUCGCCUUAAAAAAAAAAUUCAACUUUACCCGAUAGGUAUGAAAUAAAUCAUCAGCUGUGCUGAACGGAGUGUCACGGUAACAACGACUACCGUCUCACGGUCCUCCCUACAGGAGCGGGGAGGAGAGAGCAAGGAUGACUUUUGCUCACUCAGACACAAAGACCUUGAGGCGAGCUAACUGACGGAGGAAGGAAUGAAUCACACACACACACACACACACAGCUGUGCACGUGGCUCAGCAUCCAGGAUGGGCGCUCCGCCUCCGGGCCGAAGGACCCAGUGUUUGCAGAUCAAUCUGGGCUCAGCCCCUCCUCCAUCCUCUCCUCGUCCGCGGCCUCCUGAUGCGGCGUAAGGCCCCUCCGCGUUUCCUGGAGAUAGACGGAGGUGUUUGUGUCGCAACACGACCCUCGACCCCUGCGACCUUCCGCACAAUGCUGGCCGUUCUGUACUUCGGGGGAAAGCCUCGGGCGGGGGACUGCAGAUCUGCAGUAAACGGCCUUGAUUAAUGUGGCAGCGAAAGCACAGAAACUUUCGGGUGCAAACUUCCGUCAGCUUGCAGCCAUCCUCACAAUUAUCUAUUUCCAGCGGCUCGAUCUGGUGCUCCGGCUGAAGCAAGCACAAAUCUCAAAUGAGAUCCCCCAACUCUGACCUCGACAAGUCCAUAAAACUGCCAAAGACCGGUUCCGCUGGCGGAGGUGAAUAUACGGCGGCUGGAACACAACCGCUACAAGCUCCGCUGUCUCGCAGGUCCUCAUAUGUUUGGCAGAGGGCCACCGUGCACCGAACAAAUCACAGCCGCACUUAAACUACCGAUAUUUAUUCUGUCCCGGGCCGCGCGCUCCUUCGCCUUAGCCCUCCGGCUCGUCCGAUCCGGCUCGUCCAUCCCGGCGAAGCCCGCUGCAGCCGACGGAGGAGGCCUUUUUUUUUUUGGUGCAGGCUGUCGGGGCGGAACCGUAAUUAGAGGCUUGAUGGCGCGAGCCCAGCGACGCCACGUUCAUCCAUCCCUGUCCAAGUGACACUCGGGAGCGGAGCGAAUCGAUGCGACGGCUGUUAAUUGGCGGGGUAUCGCCCGGCGCCGCCCGGUGCCAUUAGUCACGGCGCCGUCACCGGGCCGAUGGCGCGGUUGACUUUGGGUGAUGUCAGGGGACUUUAUCCCACCGAAUGGAAACACCAGACGUUCAACCUCAGCGACGGACGGGUUCCUCCAGACCCGAUUUGUUGGCGUUUGGUUCAAGUGAACUCAGGUGUCAAUCAAACCCCCGUAUCGGACCGAACAACAGAACCAAGACCGGAAGGAAAAGCCGGCUCUUGAUCCGCUUCCAAGCGGACUCGGCUGGGUUGGUUUGGUUGUGUGGUAGUAGACAAGAAUAACACAUGAUUUUGUGACAGCCGGUUUUGAUUUCACACGGCAGACGGCCAACAAAUGUCUCUGCUGAUUGUGGAAACUGUUCAGGAAGCCAAGCGUUCCGUCUUUUUAUGCAAAUCACAAAGCAUCUGUGGGCAUUUCCACUGAUUAACAUUUCCAUAAAUGUGAAGCGCCAUGCGACUUUUUUUUCCCAACCCGUGAGUCAUUACUCACCAUAACAUGAGGUCAAUCUGCGGUCUAAUAAUACCAUUAAUCCUUGCAAUCUGUUACACAUAUAUAUUCAGAUCGGAUGCGUUAAAGUGCCUCAUUAACUUCUGUCCGUAGCGGAUUGGGCCGUCCACGUUGGAUCUGAUAAUGGAGGACGACGGCCCGAUCAGUCACACCCAAUAACUUCUGUACGACUUCCCUUGAAACCAUUUGCAUCCAAUUCUUAGCGCGGUGGUUCAUAACACCCGGCCUGCACAUUUAAUAGACAUUCAAUAAAGCAAUGUUGGUGUUUAUGACAGAAUGAAAACCAAAGGCGAGGAGGAGAAGGUUAAAGUCAGAGGUCAAGAGAACGACAAACCCACCCACAGAAGCCUUGUAGCGCUCCCUGACCUUUGACCCGUUGAUAUCUUCCGACGAUCAAGGAUGCGGGAGACUUCGUUUGGGCGCUGAUGGGAUCAGGGUGGUCCACUCUAUAGCACACAAACUUGAACUCAAAUAGCCAGAAAGAAGAGUUUCAGGUCAGUUCUUAGUCACGUUUGUGUGUUUCCCACAACACGCUUAUUAAACCAUUUAAAACAAAUUAUUUCUUUGAUUUCUUCCUUUGAAGUGUUUUACAAAAAGAGGAGAAAUAAAUCCAUAAAAUGCCUUUGAGUGUAGAAAAUAUCAGAGAUAAAAAUUGAGUCUUUUAUCAAACUUCAAAGGUUCGUGUCACAUGACUGUUGGGAAGUUUUUCCUUCGGGGUUUUCUGACAGAAAACGUUCAUUUUAACCUCAAUUCGCGAUCGCUCCCUACUCCGCACCAGGGCGGUUUGAGGUUCUGAGGGUUAGAAGCUGCUGCUCUCAUCAUCGCUUCAGAACUGAGAUUCAGGGCUGAUAAGAGAAAUGCGAUUAUUACAUGAAAGCAUUGUGCCAUCUGGUAUCACUGCGUCGUAUCUCCGGCCCAACCAACCGAUUCCUUCGCGUCGACUCGGCAUGUUUCAUCUUUAACACGCAGAACUCAGAAUGUCGGCAGUCACGCUGAGUCGCUCCUCCUUCCACCGCCGCCGCCGCCGCAGACAUGUGAGCCCACCGGAGGCCCGGCACGAUGAGAUAAAUUCAUGAUGUCUCAUAACUUUCAAUUGGAAUAUGUAGCCGUGAAAUUUGUUUGUGUUGCUGUGCGCCAUGAGACCCCCCCCCCCCUCCGAUACUUGCACUCUCUGCUGUUAUCGCUUUGCUGGUUUUUACCCUCGCAUAUCAAUUUGCAUCAAAUUUCAGCCGUCUUCCAUGUUUGGGAUGAUUUGCAUGACGCCGUCGGCUGGGAUUGGAACGGGCCGCCACGUGGCAUCGGGCGAGGGGCAUCACUGCGGCGGCGGGAGCUGGAUGGCGGGAGCCCAGAACAACCAGUCCGUUCGGCAAAUCUGUCAAUUUUGCUAAUGGCCCAAUAGAGACGCUUAUAUGUCCAUCAAAAAGGGGGAGGAAAAGCACAUUUCCUUCCCGGUUGAACAGAAUAACUGCGUAGGGCUCACAGGCAGUGCAGCAGCGGUUUGUGAGGCGUAAAAUAUGUCAAACUUUGGUCCUACUGGUUACCCAAGGAUGUUGAUACAGGACAAAUGCACAUAUAUGUAUCAAAGCACAUUACAGCAUCAACUCUACGCCAGCAGGCUGCAGCUUUCAGCUCUAACCAAACGGUUUUUUAGCGCCCGCCGUGUACCUCCAUCCAGAACAAUCUGCUCCCACAGAUGGGAGCGGAGGCUGUGGAGGAGGCGGCGGCGGCGUCAAUGCGCCCGAUCAAGUGUCGGCGUCCCGUUGGAACGCACUCGGCGAAUGAUUUACCCCCCCCAGCUGCGGCGCACGCCGCCGUCGGGAAAAAGAAAAAAAAGUCGAAAACGACAACUGGAAAAACAGCGAGGGAGCUCGUUCGUCUCCCAGCCGGAAGGGACGCCGGAGUGAGGGAGAGGUCGGCCUGCUUCAUCUGCAGAGAUGAAGGUGGCCGCCAUUAAUCUGGCAGGCACCUUCCAGCUCCACGUCUGAUUGGCUCCCGCUAAUUGGACGGGAGAACGAUGUUGCAUCCUUCGAGUGAAAUGGAGGCGUUGCUGAGGUAUCUGACCGCGUGGAACGUGUCAUUUUCUUGCCCUAUGUUGUCUUUUCUGUCUUGUUGUCCGUUGACUUACAGUCUGAUGUUAUGCACCAACCGCCAUGUCAAAUUCCUUCUAUGUCUCACAUAUUUUGGCAAUAAAUUCCUGACCUGAGGUCACGGUGACCUUGACCUCCAAAAUCUAAUCAGUUCAUGAUCGAGUCCAGAUGGAUAUAUUUACCCUCCUGGUGUUCUGGAGAUGUGGCGCUCAGGAGAAUGGACCAGACGGACGUGCAAACGUAAAACAUAAAGCCUCCGGUCACGUUUGUUGCUGCCGAAAAGUCAUAAAAAGAAGCGGCCUAUUAAGGCUGAAACGAUGCAGACGGCAGCGUGAGCGUUUGCAGUGACAUUCGCAAACAGUUUGCAGGUAAGAGCAGUGGAGUCAUCGAGAGCCGAGUAGAAGAGAUUAACUGUCAAGGUGACGCAUACAACAUGCUGCUGCUGUCGCUACGUGUAAAAAGAAAAUGGACCAAAUGGGGAAUAUAAUCUCCCUUUCACAAAUGAAGUGGGCCGAGGUUCACCUCGAGUUUGCCGUGCAUUGAUGAAGGGCUGGAUGAUUGCAUCAAUGGCUGGAUGAAUGGAAAGAAGAACAAACGGGUGGAUGGGUGAAUGCUCGGGUUAAUGGCUGAGUAACUGCACGGAUAAAUGGCUGCAACGGACGGACCAGUGGAUGGAUGAGUGCAUGGAUCGAUGUACAUUCAUUUUGCAUUCCACACACUUUGAUCGUCUCAUUCAAAGUGGACCAGGGCUCCUGCUGAGACAUGUGGCGGAAAGUGCAGCAAUAAAAAUAAAAAAAAAAGUGAAGAAUAUUGAGAAAGUAGCAUUUGGAUGCUAUAAAGUGACAUUCAUGACUGUUUGUCCUGCUUUGCACUGGAGCAUACAGUCAAAUAUGUGCUACUUUCCAGCUACUUCUUGCGUUAGGAGGUGAUUUCCUUUUGUUAGAUGGAAAUCUUCUCUAAAAAGGCUGCAACGUUCUGCAGCUACCCCCCCCCCCCCCCCCCCCAGUGCACUUCUAGUCUGUAGCCUGUCAAGCCUAGAAAACAGUCUUUGUGCCUUCAGCCAGAUAGAUAAAAAUAUAUUAUGUUUGCCCGUUCUGCCAGAGUUGGAUGUUGUUAACACGCUGCCACGAAAUGAGAGACACGAGG